rnacentral:lncRNA from 1 species
AUGUUUAAUAGUUAGUGGAUAUAAAUUUGUUUUUGAGAACAAUGGUUGUUCGAUAUUAUUAGAUGAUAAGAUCAUCACGAAAGGAACAUUGCAUAAUGGUUUAUUUAUGUUAGACACUACUCCACAUAUCAUGAAUGUAAAUGUGUCUAAGAGGAAACGAGAUGAAGUGAACAGUGCAUACCUGUGGCAUUGUAGGCUAGGUCACAUCCAUGAAAGAAGGAU